rnacentral:sRNA from 1 species
CCCUAGCCCCGAUAGAAGCGGAAAUCCUUUUCUCGAGUUUUUACGAGAGAAAAGAUUGAAACGAAUAGCGGGCAAUAGC